UGCUGCUGGAGGAUGGGGAUGACUUCCAAAUUGAGACAAAAUCUCUCUAUUUUUAUCUAAUUUUUACUCUUGGGACUAUACUAUUCACUAAUUUCUUCAUCCUACAUGUUUCUACUUUUCUUUUGCUUUUAAGAUGUGUCUUAGACAUAAUAUUUUAUUUAGCUUACCAUAGCCACUAUAGCACAGGGACAGUUGUCCAUUUAGAGUCAUGUCCAGCCAUGGCUUGGUUAUGGGCUGUAAGUAAAAGUUAGCAUUACUAAAAUGCUUGAGGAGUUACAUCUAAAGAUAUUUAAACAUAUACAAAGCUUCGGUGAACACCUUUCAGCAUGUUGGGAACACAAACUGUGCAAGUUCAGGAGGUGAUCAUAAGACAUGACCUCUGCCUUUAUGGACCUUAUAGUCUGGUGGGAAAGAGCUAUGUACCCAAUAGUUUCCCAAUGAAGGGGUAUGUAUUAAAUGCUAGGGGCACAUGCCCAUCACAAGAGGGCACAGAGGAGGAAGAGACAACUUCCAUUGGCAAGAACCAGGACAUGUUUACAGGAGAGAUGGGCACAUGAGCUAAGUAUUGGAGGACAAAUGAGAAUUAGAAAGACAGAGCUGGUGUAGCAUUCCAGUUUAGUGUCCCUUUUCAAAAAUGCUUAGUAUGAGCUGAGCGCAAUGAUGCCCAACUGUAGUCCCAGCUACUUGGGAAGCUGAAGAGGGAGGAUAGCUUGAACCCAGGAGUUUGAUGCCAGCCUGAGCAACAUAGCAAGACUAUCUCUCUUAAAAAAAAAAAAAAAAAAAAAAAAAAAGCUUAGUAUGUCCCUGAGAGAGAGAAAGAAAACAGCAUUGUCUCCAUCUUCAUUACCUUCAAGCACUGUAUGAGGACACUCACAGUGACAGAAAAAGAGAGUAAUUAUAGGCUCAAGGGAGAGAAAAUUGGAGAUUCUCUGAAAUGUUGGGAGUAUCCGGGUCUCUGUGGAUAGUUUAGACUGAUUUUCUGUGAAGACAAACACACAGACAAUUUCAAGGUAUGUUUAUAAGGAAGAUAUUUUCAAUUCUGGAAGUAUAAAAUUAUGAGAGUAUAAAAUUGAUGAGGGAGAAUCAUCAAGUUACAUGAGGUAAAAUGCACAAUGUAACGAAAGGAACUUUCAAGGAAAUAGACUUCAAUGGAAAUCAGAAACCAAUUUAAAAUCUUCUAUAAGAAAGUACUGCCAGUUGUGAUGGCUCACACCUGUAAUCCCAGGACUUUGGGAAGCCAAGGCUGGAGGAUUGCUUGAGGCCAGGAGUUCGAGAUCAGCCUGGGCAACAUAGUGAGACCUGGUCUCUACAAAAAUUAGAAAAAAUUAGUUGAGUGUGGUGGCAUGCGCUUGUAGUACCAGCUCCUCAGGGUGCUAAGGAGGGAGGCUUGCUUGAGCCCAGGAGUUCAAGGCUAAAGUGAACCAUGAUUAUGCCACUGCAUUCUAGCCUGGCUGGCAGAGUGAGACCUGCCUCAAAAAAAAAAAAAAUAAAAAAAAAAAAAAGAGUGAAAGUACUAAAAACAACAACAACAGCAACACACACACAACUGAAUGUUUCUUAAUAAAAUUUAAAAGAAUUUAAAAAAUCUAAGUUUAUCCUCUGCUUUAGUUACUACCAGAGAUUCAGAAGUCUCUUACACAAUUCGCAAUUUUAUUCUGAAAACAAGGCAAACAGAUUUAAAAUAAAGCCAAAACAGUAUAUGAUUGUAGUGAAUUGAGUGGUGUCUCCCAAAAGAACUCAUGUUUACCCAGAAUCUCAAAAGGGUAUCUUAUUUGGAAUAAAGGUCCUUGCAUAUGUAAUUAAGGUAAGAUUAGUAAUAAGAUCAUAUUGGCUUAGGGUGGGAUCUGAUACCUGGUGUCCUUUUAAGAAGAGAAGAGAACACAGAUAGGAGAGAAGGCUGUGUGAAGAGGGAGUUAGAGCCUGAAGUCAGGCUGCUGCAAGCCAAGGAAGACCAGAAGCCACCAGAAGCUGGAAGAGGCAAGGAAAGAUUCUCUCCCGGAGCCUUGGAAGGGAGUGUACCCCUGCUGUCACCGUGAGUUUGGACAUCUGGCUUCCAGAAUGGUGAGAAAAUAAAUUUCUUUUGUUUUAAGCCAUCUGGUUUGUGGUAAUUUGUUACAGCAGCCCUAGGAAACGAAUACAAUGAUUAAAGCAUUGGGUUUCAGAGGAGGGGUUCUGGAAUACGUAGGACUUCCUAGAGGAGGUCACGUGGGAAACUGAGACGUUAGGGAAGUAAAGAGGAGGGAAGGACUUUCUUGGAACAAGGAACCAGCAGUAGCAAAAGUGUUUAGGUGGGAAUGGACAAGAAAGGGCAGACCUUCUGCACGGAGAACUAAACUUGCCUUGAUUUGUACCUGAGACACAUCUGAACUGGGGAUGUACCUUGCUUUCUAUAGUCCAAGGAAAGGUCUCAAUAUGUCUAUGAAAAGAGAGGACUUGGGAAUGGGAAGAGGAGCCUAUGAAGCUUUUCGUGAUUCCUGAGCUGCAAGUAUAAUCCUGCAUAGGAUUAGUACCUAUGACCACCACUUUGAUGUGUUGGACCAAGAAUAAUGUACUGAAGAGCUCAAGGUGGAGAGAAUGGGUCUUGGUGUGGCCCAUCAUAAGGAGCAAAAGAAGUGAAAGUUAAAAUUUGGUGUUGGCCUUGAUCAUAUCAAUCAAACCCAAAUUCUGUAAAUAACCCUCCACAGUCCAAUACAUUAUGUGCCAUAGCCAUCAUGGCCCUCUGAGAAGAUGCUUAUGUGUGUCCCAUUGUCCCAGCCAUACACACACACUUUGGCUCAAUAUGGCUAAACCAAAAUAGAGUGUCAACCUAUUCUACCCCUUACCACUAGGUAGAAACCUGGGGGAAUAGUUUUGCUUCUUAAAAGUCUCAAUAUGGUGCUUAUCCAAAGAUGGGAGUUGUAAUAAAUGGAGCCCUACCCCACCCGUUAUGCCAUCCAAAAUUCUUCAGUGUUUCCUGCCAGAUUUUCAACUAUUUUAUCUCACGUGUUCAUGUUUCAGAUAUUCUGAUCAUCUUAUUCUGGAAGAAGUGAGUUAUCAGUUGUCCAUAAAGUCCUGCAGACUUUUCAUAAACUGAACUUUUCAUUGAUCAUGACCCUUAUCCUACAUAACCCAAGUCAUCAAGACCUAUGCAGUGGAGAGGCUAAAUUAUGGCAGGACUGUGCUCCACAGGGAAGAAAUGUGGUCCCUCAAUACAAGCCGUGUCCUCAAUAGAGAUCUGCAGUGCAAUUGUGCCCAUGUGUGUGCUUUCUACAUGAUUUCUGGUCAUCUGUGAGCUUGAUUUCUCUUGUCUUGCCAUGGUGAGUUACAUCAAACAUACCUGCAGAUUUCCUGACUGACAUAGAGUCUCCUUCUCCUUCCAGCGCCUUCAUGAUCACUGUCCCCUUUUGAAGAUUCUUUUUUCAACUCUCUCUUUUUCAAAAGAUUACUUUGUCACAAUUAUUCAGGAAAGGGUUUUGCGCCUGUAGGAAAUAUUAAUAGACUAUUAUGAGGUCCUACAACUAAUUUUUCCACACAUAUCAUCUGUCUUUGCAUGGUUAUUAAACUUCAACAAUAUUUCAUGCAAUGCUUC
rnacentral:lncRNA from 10 species